UACGUAGGUGGCAAGCGUUGUCCGGAUUUACUGGGCGUAAAGAGCGCGCAGGCGGUCGGAUAAGUCGAAUGUGAAAGCCCCGGCUUAACUGGGGAGGGUCAUUCGAUACUGUUCGACUGGAAGGCAGGAGAGGGAAGCGGAAUUCCCGGUGUAGUGGUGAAAUGCGUAGAUAUCGGGAGGAACACCAGUGGCGAAGGCGGCUUCCUGGCCUGUUCUUGACGCUGAGGCGGCGGAAAGCGUGGGGAGCCAAACAGGGAGUUAAGCAAACC
rnacentral:rRNA from 1 species